UAGCAUCUCUGAAACGCGAAAUUUCUUGUAUUAUUUGUGUAUUUGGGUGAGCGAAUUUGUGACGACUGGUUAAUUUUCAAGUUCGUUAUCUAAAAUUUGUGUCGCAUUGGUGGUCGUCAGUACCGUGUAUAAAGCGCCAUGUCGACGCAAAAUGUGGGAAAUGAAGAAAACGCAGCCCCAAAGUCGAAGCGACCUUCAGAUUCAGCUUUUAAGCAACAACGCCUGCCCGCUUGGCAGCCCGUGCUGACCGCACGAACGGUUCUGCCCACCUUCUUUGUCAUUGGUGUCCUAUUCAUUCCCAUUGGCGUGGUGCUGCUGUACUUAUCCAAUUCAUCCAAUGAGCUCAUCAUUGACUACACUAGGUGCAUGCAGGUCGACAGUAAUAGGACCUGCGCCGAUUUUCUGGAGGACACAACGGGCGGUGAAUGCUCCUGCAAGAUUAACUUUAAUCUGACUGAAGACUUUAUUGGCGACGUGUACAUGUACUAUGGCCUGACCAAUUACUAUCAGAAUCAUCGACGAUAUGUGAAAUCACGAGACGAUGAACAACUGCUGGGUCGCUUGUCCUUAACGCCAAGUUCAGACUGCACGCCAUUUGCCUAUGCAGAUAAUGGGAAACCCAUAGCGCCUUGCGGGGCCAUUGCCAAUUCCCUAUUUAAUGAUACACUGACACUGAGCCAAGGCAGCUCGAAUAUCAAAUUAUUAAAUACGGGCAUUGCAUGGCCAUCGGAUAAGCGCGUCAAGUUCCGUAAUCCCCCUGGCGACCUGGAAAAGGCUUUUGAGCCAUAUGAAAAGCCGAUAUUCUGGCAAAAACAAGUCUAUGAAUUGGAUGAAACAAAUGACGCUAACAAUGGUUUUCAGAACGAGGAUUUAAUCGUGUGGAUGCGCACUGCUGCCUUGCCCAGUUUUCGAAAGCUAUACCGUCGCUUGGAUCAAACAAAUAAUAGCUUUACGAGGGGCCUUAAAGCCGGCGAAUACACGCUGGACGUAAAGUAUAAAUAUCCCGUGGUCUCGUUUGAUGGCACCAAGCGUAUGAUUCUAUCGACAACAUCAGUGCUGGGCGGUAAAAAUCCAUUCCUGGGUAUUGCCUACAUUGUUGUUGGUGCCAUUUGUUUGAUACUUGGACUGGCGCUCCUCUUCAUUCAUAUGCGCUGCAGCCGUAGCAUUGAGUUGAUUUGAAGCUCAUGCCUCUCAAGUCCCAUCAAAUAAAACAAAAAAUGUCUAAAUGGCUGUCAAAGCAAACGAGCUGUUGCAGCAACAUGGAGAUGAUAAACGUUAAUCCACAUACGCAGUACUCCUAGAAGCAAUUGAUUCGAUUUGGGAGUAAUUUUGGCAAAAGCUUCUCUCGCCCAUGCACCAUUAUUUAGCUAUAAUAUCUUGUUUAAGCAUAAUUGUCUAUGUAUAUCCUUGUAACAGAAUACACACAAUUAGUUUCUAUUAGUAUUUAUGACACUGUACGGCAUCGUUGGCUGUGCCUUUUGUUACCAUUUUGUAAUGUUUUUUUUUUUUGUUUUUUGUUUUUGCACUUUUAAUUAUAUGUAUGUAAUGUUUGUUAAUGAUUCGUCUUGUAAUGCAUCUGAUCACAUACGCGACUACUAUAGUACUACUAUUGCCUCAUCCUGAUAAAUUAGAAAAGUUUCCCCACAUAAAUGCAUAGAAAAUAUUUAAACAAUUAAACUUUAGACUAUGAGUGCCUGUGCCGCAAUUUGGCAUUAACACAUAUGUUUUGUAUGGCAGCCGUUUAAAGCAGACGCUAUAGAAAUAUUUAUAAAUAUGCAUUGAUAUUUUAUUAAA
rnacentral:misc_RNA from 1 species